AUCGUCCGCCCCGUGGACGCCCUGAACAUCGGGGCGAGGUCCCGGAUACCCUGACGGGGUGCGCCCAGCCGGGGACGCUCCGACGACGGGUUUCCCGGGCAGCCGCAAAGCCGACAGCCGUCGCACCUGAGGGAGCCCCGUACAUG
rnacentral:sRNA from 21 species